rnacentral:misc_RNA from 1 species
CACAAAAAAGAGUAUGAGGGUGUGUGGUGCUGGCAACAGCGUCUCCGCCCACGUAUCUUUUUCACCCAUGUCUUUUGCGCACUUUUUGUUUCCUGGGCGAGUUCGCUCGCCACCAGGACCUAACCAUAAACCUUUUUUUAAGCAGUUGCAAUCAGCGUCAGUAUAAUAAUUUAAUUUAUUA